AGCGGCGCACGGGUGAGUAACGCGUACACGACCUACCUCUAACAGGGGGAUAGCCCUGGGAAACUGGGAUUAAUACCGCAUAUUAUUCUGAAUAAUAAAGGUUUGGAAUGAAAGCUGAGGCGGUUAGAGAUGGGUGUGCGUCUGAUUAGCUAGUUGGUAGGGUAACGGCCUACCAAGGCGAUGAUCAGUAGGGGGCGUGAGAGCGUGGUCCCCCACACGGGUACUGAGACACGGACCCGACUCCUACGGGAGGCAGCAGUAAGGAAUAUUGGUCAAUGGGCGAAAGCCUGAACCAGCCAUCCAGCGUGCAGGAAGAAGGCCCUAUGGGUUGUAAACUGCUUUUAUCAGGGAAGAAACCUCUGGAUUUACUCCGGAGCUGACGGUACCUGAAGAAUAAGCACCGGCUAACUCCGUGCCAGCAGCCGCGGUAAUACGGAGGGUGCGAGCGUUAUCCGGAAUUACUGGGUUUAAAGGGUGCGUAGGCGGCUUUGUAAGUCAGGAGUGAAAGUUUGCGGCUCAACCGUAAAAUUGCUUUUGAUACUGCAGAGCUAGAAUCAGGAUGAGGUUAGCGGAAUGUGGCAUGUAGCGGUGAAAUGCAUAGAUAUGCCAUAGAACACCAAUUGCGAAGGCAGCUGGCUAGACCUGCAUUGGCGCUGAGGCACGAAAGCGUGGGGAGCGAACAGGAUUAGAUACCCUGGUA
rnacentral:rRNA from 1 species